UUUUCUUUGCGCUGGAGGAGGGUGUUGGAGGAGGUCCUGGAAUCAUGAGAACUUCCAAUGACUUGGCAAAUCUCUCUGAAUCACUGACGUUUUGCUGCCACCUCCACCCAUGCCUGUCCCUUGCUUGCUCCCUCGCCGGGUGUCAGUUCACCAGCCUACGUGCUGAGAAGAAAAGUUAAAAAGGUCUGGCCAGGAAACCUUCAAGUAGCAGCACUUUCCCUUUUAAGCAGCUGGCGCGAAAGAGCGGUGGGGAUGCAAUCCACGCACCGAGGGACAGCGGGACCUCUGCGUUUUGGUGGAUGGUGGAGGAAAUCUGCCCGUGCCAAGACCUGCUGGUGCUCUCUGCCUGCACAUAUGCACCAUAUGCCCAAUCUUUACUUAAUGUAAAUCAAUGCCACUGAUGCCAACGAAGCUGGGCUAUUUUAGCCGUCGAGAGCCUAGCCUUCUGUAUCGUAUGCCCUCAGCUGUGACUUCGUGGCUCAAAAAAUAUUAAGCAACACUCAGUGGGGAGCAAGGGGGCACAUUCACAUGUAAUUCAAAUGAAAUCAA